rnacentral:rRNA from 1 species
GACAGAGGGUGCAAACGUUGCUCGGAAUCACUGGGCGUAAAGGGCGUGUAGGCGGGAAGGAAAGUCAGAUGUGAAAUCCCUGGGCUCAACCCAGGAACUGCAUUUGAAACUCCCUUUCUUGAGUGUCGGAGAGGAAAGUGGAAUUCCUGGUGUAGAGGUGAAAUUCGUAGAUAUCAGGAGGAACACCGGUGGCGAAGGCGGCUUCUGGACGA